rnacentral:rRNA from 1 species
UACGUAGGGAGCUAGCGUUGUCCGGAAUCAUUGGGCGUAAAGCGCGCGUAGGCGGCCCGGUAAGUCCGCUGUGAAAGUCAAAGGCUCAACCUUUGAAUGUCAGCGGAUACUGCCGGGCUAGAGUCCGGAAGAGGCGAGUGGAACUCCUGGUGUAGCGGUGGAAUGCGCAGAUAUCAGGAGGAACACCCGUGGCGAAAGCGGCUCUCUGGGACGGUACUGACGCUGAGACGCGAAAGCGUGGGGAGCAAACAGG